ACCACAUUUUAAGCAUCUGUCCGAGGUGGCAGUUCCGAUGUGGAAUCUUUUUACAGGUGUGAGAUAAGUUUGAUGUAAUAGUUGUAGUGCCAUCUCUUGGUAUGUGCUGGCGGGCAGACUUUUCAUGACGUGUGUGUGGUAGUUUAAGAUGUCUUCAUUUUCUGCUAGUGGGAUUACCGUUUUCCAUUUUGUAAAGUUGAAAGUGGAUUUGUCAAUAUCUAGGGUUGUCCUGAUUUGUCUGUAGAUUUGGGAUGUUGAUUUAACUGCGUCUUGUCUUAGCCAUAGGGAGUCUAGGGGGUUAUUUUUGUCUUUUUCAGUGAGUUUGUUCAGGUGCUGAGUAGCGAAGUGGGUUAUUUGUAGCAAUGCGAAUUGAUGGGGUUGUAGGAAUGGGUAUUUUCGUAUUAGGUCAGAGGUAGUUAGUAGGGUGAAUUUGUCCGUGACCAUAUCUUUUAUGUUUUGUAGGCCAUGCGUUUGCCAUAUGUUAAAGACAGUAUUGGAGCGACCAGGAGUAAAGUUUUUAUUCCUCAUCCAGGUCAAGUGUAUGGAGUUGAAUUGAGAGAUGUUGAUUUUUUUCCGAAUCUUGUGUCAGGUAUUGUAUGUAUGGAUAAAUAGUGGAUUAUCUUUCAUGUUUUUUGGGAUAUCUUUUAGAGGCGUAUGUAAUAGACAGUUAAGUGAUAUUCCUUCUGAGAGUGUGUCAUCUAUGGAAAUAGUGGUGAAAACGUUUCUACGGUGAAGCCAGUCACCUGCAAAUCGGAGAAGGGCAGCUUCGUUAUAUUCUAUUACGUUUGGAAAAUUAAGUCCUCCUUCAUGUUUUUGUAGUUGAAGUUUAAAAAGAUUGAUUCUGGGUCGUUUUUUAUUCCAUAUGAAUGUUCUAAUUAUGUGUUGUAAUCUUCUGAUAUCUGUGGAUAGUAUCCUAUAUGGUAGCAGUUGUAUUUUGUAGAGAAGUUUGGGAAAUGCAAUCAUCUUAAUUAAGUGGAGUCUGCCCGCGAAUGACAAGUUUGUGUUAAUCCAUUUGCGGGUCUCUUGUUCUAUCUGGUCUAUUGUAUGCCUAAUGUUUAGGUUGUAGAAGUCUUGAUGACGUUGUGGUAAUUGGAUCCCGAGAAAUUUAAUGUGUGUUUUCGCUUUUUUAAAUGGGAAGGAGGUGUUCCAGUCUGCAGGGGAGGUAUGUUGUAGACGUAGUGCUUCCGAUUUAUCUAAGUUGAUUUUAAAUCCUGCUAUAGUGCCAAAUGUUUCUAUCUUUUUUAGAAUAUAGGGUAGUUCGGUUUGCGGUUUGUGUAUAAAUAGAAGGAUGUCGUCUGCAUAUGCUAUUAGUUUGAGUCUUUGUGUGCCUAAUGGUAUACCUUUGAAUAUAUCGCUAUUUAAUAGAUGUUUUAGGAGGGGGUCUAGCGCAAUGUUGAAAAGCAAUGGUGAAAGAGGGCAUCCCUGUCUGGUCCCUCUUUGGAUCAGAAAUCUAGUUGAGUUAAGGCCAUUUGCUGUGAUAUGUGUGUAUGAUUGGGAAUAUAGGGUCUUAAAGAGGUUUAGCAUUUGUAUGCCAAAAUGUUGGAACUUAAGAAGUCUUUUGAUAUGUGUGUGAGUUAUCCUGUCAAAUGCUUUGUCUGCAUCUAAAUUAAUUAAUAUACCGUGUUUUCUUUUUUCCAGGGUACAUUGAUAUAUUGCCGCUAUUACCUUACGUAUGGCUUGGACCGAGGUUCGUUGUUUAAGGAAUCCUACUUGUUGCGCGGUGCGUCGAGUAUUUCUCUGUCCUGAACUGAGAGCUUGGAUAAAUGGGCAUCGCGUAUGAAGAGGAGACCCUCAUCUGGAUGAUCUUGGUUUUCCUCAUAAAGUGUUUUAAAAUGUGUUUCCAUUGUCUUCACUAUUUGUUUUGUGUCCAGGGCCCAUCCCUCCGCUGUUUUCAGUUUUUUUUAUAAAACUGUGUUUGGUUUGAAGUUUUGAUAUUUUAGCUAAUAGUUUCCCAGGUUUGUUUCCCCAUCUAUAAUAUUUGUUCUUCAUAUGAGAUAUUUUAUAUUGUGCAUUAUCAUGUAAUAAAGUGUUGAACAAAUUCUUGGUGUCAGUGUAUUUUUUCUUAUCUGCUUCCGAGUUUGUGAGUUUGAAUG